UCCGGUCCGGAGUUCUUUUCCCAGACCAUGGCAGGAACGGGGGAACCACGAACGGCUCGCAGGGCGCCGACACGGCGCUCAGCGGGUCUCUGGGGUGAAGCCUGUGAGAACAGGCCGGGCUUCUCCAGUCCGAACCCGACAGCUCACCUCGGCAGCUCAAUAAGGAGAGACA
rfam:Actinomyces sp. oral taxon 448 str. F0400 genomic scaffold SCAFFOLD1, whole genome shotgun sequence.